CUGCUGCCUUCCGUAGGAGUCUGGUCCGUGUCUCAGUACCAGUGUGGGGGACCUUCCUCUCAGAACCCCUACGCAUCGUCGCCUUGGUGGGCCAUUACCCCGCCAACUAGCUAAUGCGCCGCAUGCCCAUCCUCCGCCGGAAUCGCUUCCUUUUAACACCCGUGGGAUGCCCCACAGAUGUACCACGCGGUAUUAGUCCGGAUUUCUCCGGGUUAUCCCCCUGCGGAGGGCAGGUUGCAUACGUGUUACUCACCCGUGCGCCGGUCGCCGG
rnacentral:rRNA from 1 species